UACGUAGGUGGCAAGCGUUGUUCGGAAUUAUUGGGCGUAAAGAGCUCGUAGGCGGCUCGUUGCGUCGGCUGUGAAAACCCGCAGCUCAACUGUGGGCUUGCAGCCGAUACGGGCGGGCUGGAGUUCGGUAGGGGAGACUGGAAUUCCUGGUGUAGCGGUGAAAUGCGCAGAUAUCAGGAGGAACACCGGUGGCGAAGGCGGGUCUCUGGGCAGUAACUGACGCUGAGGAGCGAAAGCGUGGGGAGCGAACAGG
rnacentral:rRNA from 1 species